UUACGGCCACAUCACGCUGAAACACCGGUUCCCGUACGAUCACUGAAGUUAAGCAACGUCGAGCUUGGACAGUACUUUGGUGGGUGACCGCUUGAGAAUACUAGCUA